CUGGAUUCUAGCCUAAGAUAUGCCGCAUUCGUGCCUCAGCCUCCCUGGUGCUGGGAUUACAAUCAUGCCCCAUAACAAAUGGCAGCCCUUUUCUUUUUAUACAAGAGAUCUCAAGCCUAUUUCCUGACUAGCUCCUUAAUGAAAGCAGAUUACUAAGUGAUCAGAUAUCACAGACAAUACUUCUAAGAAGUAAACAUCAAGCAUUUAAAAGAACUACUACCCCCUAUAACUACUGACUACCACCAGUUUAAAAAAAUAAACACCCAGACUUCUGAACAUAGUAACAACGAAGGUAAAAACUGUGAGACAAAUUAUAAAAGCAUAAAUAAAGAAAAUGAAUUUCAGACUUCAGGGUGAGAUCUCAUCAAGUGUAAUAAAAUCUAGCCAAGCGAGAUUUUGGUGAAUUUUCUAAUGAGAAAAAUUAAAGAUGCUUAUAGAAAGAGAAUGAGAUUCAUGAGGUAUAAAUCACACCCAAACCAGUCCUGAACCAAUAGUCUCCACCACUUCUACUAAAUUACAGAAAUUCCUUCCAAGAUUAAAAACACAGCUGGACUUAGUAUGGAAGCCUGUAAUCCCAGUUGAGGCAAGUUAGAUUACAAAUUCAAGGCCUGCCUAGAGGGAGUUCUAGGCUAGCCCGGGUCACUUAGUAGGUUCCUGUUCCAAAGUAAAACAUAAGAAGAGGUCUGAGGUUGUAGGUCAGUGACAGAGCAGCAUAAUGCCUGCCAGCACCCAGGGAGGUGGCUUCACCCUUCAAGCCCUUCACCCCAGCAUUCUGGAAGCAGAGGCAGGAGGAUCAGAAGUUCAGUGCCAGCCUUGGCUAUAUAUGGAGUUUAAGAGCAGCUUUAGGUUUUAAGACCUUGUCUCAAAACAAACAAACAAAAAAUUAGACCCAAUUAAAUGUGAUUUUUUUUUUUUUGAGCUGAGGAUCGAACCCAGGGCCUUAUGCUUGCUAGGCAAGUGCUCUACCACUGAGCUAAAUCCCCAACCCUAAAUGUGAUUUUUAUUUUCUGCACAUUGCCAGUUAUUUUCUGUAAGGCACUAAUCCACUACUUUUACAAUCCUUUGUUAUAGUUAUUUUGUGUGUAUGUGUACAUAUGAUAGGCAAGUGCUCUCCAGAGCUAUGCCUACAACCAACAGCUGCCCCUAUUUAAAAAUUUGUUUUACACUUUAUGUGUGUGUAUGCUGUCCACAGUAUGCAUGGGUAGGUUAGAGAAAACCUUCCACCAUGUGGGUGCCAGGGAUUGAACACAGAUCAUCAAGACUGGUGACAAGUACCUUCACAAAAAAAGUUUAAGAACAUUAAUGGUAAGUUUUGAAGCCUGAAUGCUGAACCCUCUUUAGUAGAAAACAGCAAAGAAACAAAAGAACAGGUUGCUGUUAACUCACAAGGUCAAGGCAUCCCCUCUUGCCAAAUAGACAGUUGGCCCUGAAGGCAUCAGAGAUAGCAAUGCUUGUACUUUGCCCUAAUCUUCUCUCUGACAAAACAGGCUUUUGUCUACAGUGACCAAAUGCCUCACAGUUAUCCCAGGGCCUAGAUAGCACAGCUGGAGCUUGGUACUCCAAGACAGGGAUUAAGAAAUGAUCUCCAGCCCACAACCCUGUGGAGCAAACUCUGGUGGCUGCCAGGACCAGUAAAGACUAACAGGGGUGGGGAGUGGGGAGGAGGUAGCUAGAUUCAUCAAACCUCGUGAUCUGAGCUCUAUCCCUGGACUCACAUGGUGGAAGCAAGCCAAGAGACUGCUUUUAACCUCAACACUAGUGCCUGUGGUGCUCCCCCAGCACACACACACAUGCAGUAAUGUAAUUAAAUUAUAAAAGAUACAACAGUGAGGGCAGCUGUUGGUUGCAGGACUUACUGAUAGAAGAGCACUUACCUAGCUUGUGAAAGGCUCUGGGUUCAAUCCUCAGCAUAGCAAAGUCAAACAAACAAACUAGAGGAAACUGGGUCCACAGGCACAGUGGCAUCUCCUUCCCACAUCAGUGCUGUGUUUCCUUUUCCCUCAGAUAGCUUACCCUGCUCGCAACUUGAGGUCUUACUAGUCUCUCUGGCUUGGCCACAGUAACUGUCUACCCUCUUUUUUUUUUUGGGUUUUUUGAGACAGGGUUUCUCUGUGUAGCUUUGCGCCUCUCCUGGAACUCACUUGGUAGCCCAGGCUGGCCUCGAACUCACAGAGAUCCGCCUGGCUCUGCCUCCCGAGUGCUGGGAUUAAAGGCGUGCGCCACCACCGCCCGGCAUGUCUACCCUCUUUUAAAAAACCAACCUGACAAGAAUGGGAUUUUAGGAAAACUUAACUACUUCCAAAUAAACAGAACUCUUGCUUAGGAUAUUUUCAGAAAGGCUACGGGUCUCGAUUCUACCUAAUUAACCCCCCUGGCUUCAGUCUUGGCAACCAGAACACUAAAAGACUGUCCUAGAAAAGCUAUAAAACAGUGAGUAAACAGGGGUGGGUAGUGGGAGUGGUGGGGGGUGUUCUCCAGCCUCAGACACCGGCUCCAAACUCUUCCUACUCCAUUUCCAGUCACACAACAGCCAAAGCCACAAACAACCCUCUGACUCACAGCGCCUGCCACACACUUCUCUUCAGUUGUCGCUGCUGGAGCCAGGGUAAGAGACUUCGUUGGCACAUGCCAGCUCUUGUUUGAGCUGGUUACCACCUCAAAAGCUGCUUGGCUCAAGACCUGCCCUUUCUUUAUAGGAUCUUUCAAGCUUCAAAACAGCACCUUUUCUUGGAUUCCUCUCAAGACACUGAGGUCUUGCUAUGUUGCCCAAUUUGGUCUACAACUACCCUGGAGCUCAAGUGAUCCUCCUGCCUCAGACGACUCCAGGGUCUACUACAAGAGGCUUACCUUGAACUCUCAAGCUCCUGUCCCACAAGCCUCGGAAGAAUGGGAUUAUAAAUAUACAUCAUCACAGCCAGCAGGAGAGCGAAUGUUAAAAUGCAAAUGGUGGGGACCUGAGGCCAAGGGUUCACCUGCAAGUCUGGCUGAAGUCUGGCACUGGAGUCUUUAACCAGCCCCCAAGGCUGAUGCCGCUGAAGGCACAGGGAGGGAGGCCUGCUUUCAUUCUCAUCUCAGUUACCACUUCAUGUGAAAACACUUCUCUGGAGUACUUUCAAAAGAAAGACACUAAGGGCUGAAAAAUACCUCCAGGGUCUAAAAGCUAAGGGAUUUCCCUCCCUGCCUCCUUCCUCCCUCCUUCCCUUCCUUUCCUGUUCUGAAGCCAAAAAGGUACCACUGACAUUAAGACCAUGAAGAUUCAAGACCAAGAAAGAGUUACAGACAGAUGCACAUAGAGUGAGCAAGAACUCUGUUACCAUCUCAAUUUUUCUUUUUCAUACUGGGGGAAAAACAAACAAAACCCAAAAAACCCUUUCCUGUUGGUCUCCUAUGGCAAAAGAAAAAUGCUAAAAGAGAGGUCACUCUGUAAUACCAGCCCCCAUAAUGGAGAUACACUCUUUUUUUAAAAAUAAAAUUAUUUAUUUAUGUACAUUUUUAUGUAUGAGUGCUUUGUCUGCAUGUAUGCCUGCAUACCAGAAGAAGGCACCAGAUCCCACUAUGGAUGGUUGUGAGCAAUCAUGUGCUUGUUGGGAAUUGAACUCAGGACCUCUGGAAGAGCAGCCAGUGCUCUUAACCUCUGAGCCAUUUCUCCAGCCUGGAGAUACACUCUCUUAAGAUCUAUUAUAUCUUACUAUUUUUAUUUAUGUGUGGGUGUCUGUAUGAACGCCAGACGUGUGUUGUGCCGGCAGAAGCCAGAAGAGGGCGUUAGAUCUCUUACAGCUGGAGUUGUAAGUGGUUGUAAGCCACCUGACAUAGAUGCUGGGAACGUGGGUCCUCUGCAAGAGCAGCAAGUGCUCUUAACUGCUAAGCUUUAACUCUCUAGCCCCCUUAAGUAUAAUUUUGUCCUAUAAAUAGAAAAUUUCAAAAUGCUCUAAAUUACCCUCCCUAAUUCUCUUCCAGAAUUCUGUUCUCUAUCUCACAUGAACUUUGCCUCUUAAUGAGACAGAGCUAAAGUCUAAGGCAACAUAAGCACUGACACUAAUAUCAUCUAGGACGAGUAACUUCAGGGAAAAGCAUUUGAUACAAAUGUCUCCUCAGACAGCCAAGGACAUUUCUUACGUGGGUGCUCUCAUCCAUGACUAAACUGUAUCAAGAGAAAUAUACUUUAAAAUAUUAAUAUGGACUGGCACCUUCCUGAUGCUAAUUCUUCCAAGCCCACUCCAAUGGUACAACUGGGAAAUUAACUGAAGAGGAAAGCAAUCUUCCCUCCACUCUCUACUUCAGACACUCCUCCUCCAUAGCACUGCCGUGUAAAGAAUCAUUCUAUACAAAUACAGAUAAAACAUGCUCACACACACAAAUAACUCUCAGCAGGAUCCAAAAAUCAAAGCCUAACCCCAUGGUUUUUAAGUGAACAAGUCCAAUUUCCUUCUUUGUGGCUCUUGACACAUGCUGGCGAGAAGCUGUCUGGAUUUUUUAUGCCUUGUUCCUGCCCCAGAAGGCUCUGCACUGCAGGUCAGAGGAUGAUAAGGAAAUGAACAGUGUAAUUUCCAAGGCCUCUGAACACAGCCCUGUCAGCAGCUCUGGAGGCAGGUUACUCAAGCAUGGCUUGAAGAGUGCAAACCACAGAGAGGAGGGCUCAGGCAGUCAGCAGUGGCAGAUCUCAGCUGUGUGUGUUAUUGCCACCUCUAGCCUGAAAGCACAGGCCCUGCUGCCUCCCUGGAUAAGCCCUGCUGGUAAAAGCUCUUGUAUCCAAAAGGCAAAAAUACAAAUUCACAUCAGGGAAGGAAAAUUAAGGACCAAGACUUAGAUUUUAUUUUUCCUUGCGCGCGUAUGUAGCAACAAAAGCACUGUUCUUCCAUGCUCUGCUAUGAGACAGUAUAUGCUGGCAGACACACAGCAACAUCCAUCCAACAUACCCAACACCACUCCAGGGAUUUGGCCAAAAAGAAAUGCAAUUCACAUGAAAUCUGAAAUGCAAUGAGGCUACUUCAAUACCUCUGAAACCUAUUUUUGGUCUUUUGAGGCUUUAGAACAUAGCACCAGCAUGUAAAUUUCCCAGCCCAGGUUUGGAACUACUUCUGGGCAUAGUGCUGAAAAGUCUUAGCCAAUAUGUUUAUCUGUUCCUGUUGGGCUUCCUGUGCAGUGGA